UACGGGGGGGGCAAGCGUUGUUCGGAAUUACUGGGCGUAAAGGGCUCGUAGGCGGCCAACUAAGGCAGACGUGAAAUCCCCAGGCUCAACCUGGGAACUGCGUCUGAUACUGGAUGGCUUGAAUCCGGGAGAGGGAUGCAGAAUUCCAGGUGUAGCGGUGAAAUGCGUAGAUAUCGUAAGGAAGACCAGUGGCGAAGGCGGGUCUCUGGACAGUUCCUGACGCUGAGGCACGAAGGCCAGGGGAGCAAACGGG
rnacentral:rRNA from 1 species